ensembl:lncRNA
CCGAGGCAUCAAUUGGCGGGAGACUCCACCUCCGGCCGGGGCCCGCCCCCUUGCAACUUGAGCCCGAAGGGAUCACCCCGCGGCGCGGCCAGGGCCUUAGAAAUCGCCGGCCGAGGGCGAGCACCAGCGGCUGGAAGGCGGGGCGGCCCGGCCCGGGGGCCGGAGGGGCGGGGCUGGGCCCCGAAGCCCGCUCGCCGGGACGGGCGAUCAGGACCUCGGUGGCGGCGCGGGUCAGACAGCUGGACCAGGGACCCGGGAGUCCGCGGCGGAGGUCCUCCGGCUAGCGCAGGCACCAAGCUGGCCCCGAUCCCGGCGUCCCAGCCCCGACCCGCGCGCGCCCCUCGCCGCGCACCUGAGCGGAGAUCCCCGGCGGACAGCCGCGCCGCGCCGGAGCUCCGGUUCGCUUCCCGCGCGCCGCCGCCAACGCCGCCCCCGCCGCUGCUGCUCGUGCGGGGCCGCUGCCCAGGUGCCGCCGGAGCCUGGGUCGGCGGCCGCCGCUUCGCUGGCCCCGGCUCCUGCCCCGCCGGGGACGCUGGCCCGCAAGGAGGCAACUUUGGGCCCCCGCGGCUUGCCGCGUUCGCCCGCGGGCGCCGCUCGCCUCCCGGAGCCCGCCCGCCUCCCGCGCGCGCUCACACUCGCGCCUCGCACACGGCCGCCCCCCGCACCGCCCCGCCACGCACACCGCGCUCGGCGCCCCCCGCCGUCGCCCGAGGCUGCCGCGCGCCGCGCGGGUCACGCCCGCCCCGUCCCAUCGCGCCCCGGCUCUGCGCCGCAGCUCUCGGGUCAGCGGCCUCCGGGUCCCGGCGGGGAGGUGCGGAGGGCAGGGCUAGCGGGAGGGUUGGCGACCGGCGCCAGAAACGCGGAGGCCCGGGGAAGGCAGCGCCGUCCUUGCGCCCUAGCCGAGCCGGGAGCGCUCUGGGCGCUGGGCGCGGCGGGCGCGGGGCGGCGGGCGCGGGGCGGCGGCGGCCCCGGGCGGCUCUCCCACUAGGGGUAGCUGUUGCCUGA